CGUGACUCGGAUUGGGGGACCACCUUUGGCAGAUCAAUCCCCUGUCCUGCUCUUUGCUCCAUGAGAAAGAUCCACCUACAACCUUGGGUCCUCAGACCAAGCAGCCCAAGGAACAUCUCACCAAUUUUAAAUCAGGGGCAUGAAAUGGAUUUGUUGAACAUAACGUGUCCAGAAUUGGUGGGUCCUUGAUCUCACUGACCUCAAGAGUGAAGCCACGGACUCUCACGAAUGGCGUGGCAGAGAUAAGAGAAGGAGCAUCUGAAUGCUGAGAAGAGUUUGGCUGGAGAUGGUUGGAGAGGAGAUCGGCUGCUGGAUG